rnacentral:lncRNA from 11 species
AGGGGGAAAAGGAAAGGGCCUGAGGUUGUGAGGAAUGCUGGGAGUUGAAGUCCAAAACACCUGGAAGGCCCAACUUCGGAGCCCGCGAAGCCUAUCGUGGCUCUAGAAGGCGGGACAAGCCCCCGCCCCUUUUCCACUCUCAGCCAAUUACCUGGCGGCUCACUCCGGCGCGCGCUGAAUUUAACCCUUCCCUCCCUCCCGAUUGGCCGGAUCCGUUCCAGAUUGGCAGAGCUACUCAGGCUGCGUCACCGGGCUGAGGAGCAAAGAAGGGCGCCGCUUUUGUUACAGGAAGAGCAUCACUGAUGAAUGAAAGAUCUCUUUAGAUCAUCUAUGCCUUGAACUAGUUAAUACACUGACUGUUGUGUGGACAUCAGACAGAAUACAAAAAUGCUAUGAGGUAUUGGUUUCUAUUGACCUGUGAAAAGAACAUACCUUGUCCAAGUGGUGGUUCUCU